rnacentral:misc_RNA from 1 species
UCACCGCUUGCGCGGGCAGUCUCAUUAGAGUCCCCAGCAUGACCUGUUGGCAACAUAGGACAAGGGUUGCGCUCGUUGCGGGACUUAACCCAACAUCUCACGACACGAGCUGACGACAGCCAUGCACCACCUAUCACAGGCCCCGAAGGACACCACAUCUCUGUGGCUUUUCCUGCGUAGUUCAACCCAGGUAAGGUUCUUCGCGUCGCCUCGAAUUAAGCAACAUGCUCCGCCGCUUGUGCGGGCCCCCGUCAAUUCCUCUGAGUUUUAAUCUUGCGACCGUACUCCCCAGGCGGAUGACUUCUCGCGUUAGCUGCGUUACUAAAGGAUUUAACUCCUCCAACAGCUAGUCAUCAUCGUUUAGGGCGUGGACUAC